GUGAGCACCGUGGUGACGAGUCGUAUUAUCCUGAUUGUGAUUAAUAAUUGUUGAUUACGAGAAUGACGACAGGAGUAGGCGUUAGAAAUGUGAAUGCCACGAUGAUUAAUGGUCCAUUCGAUGAUUCUUCAAACAAAUAUGGCAAUGUAUAAUUAAGAUUUUACACAACUUCUCCACUUUCUGUUAUUCUAUGGAAAGAAUCUAGUCAUGCUCUAAAAAC